UUAGAGUUUGAAUCAUGGCUCAGGAUGAACGCUAGCGGGAGGCCUAACACAUGCAAGCCGAGCGGUAUUUGUUCUUCGGAACAGAGAGAGCGGCGUACGGGUGCGGAACACGUGUGCAACCUGCCUUUAUCAGGGAGAUAGCCUUUCGAAAGGAAGAUUAAUAUCCCAUAAUAUAUUAAGUGGCAUCACUUGAUAUUGAAAGCUCCGGCGGAUAAAGAUGGGCACGCGCAAGAUUAGAUAGUUGGUAGGGUAACGGCCUACCAAGUCAGUGAUCUUUAGGGGGCCUGAGAGGGUGAUCCCCCACACUGGUACUGAGACACGGACCAGACUCCUACGGGAGGCAGCAGUGAGGAAUAUUGGACAAUGGGUGAGAGCCUGAUCCAGCCAUCCCGCGUGAAGGACGACGGCCCUAUGGGUUGUAAACUUCUUUUGUAUAGGGAUAAACCUUUCCACGUGUGGAAAGCUGAAGGUACUAUACGAAUAAGCACCGGCUAACUCCGUGCCAGCAGCCGCGGUAAUACGGAGGGGAACGUAUCCGGAUUUAUUGGGKUUAAGGGUCCGUAGGCGGAUCUGUAAGUCAGUGGUGAAAUCUCACAGCUUAACUGUGAAACUGCCAUUGAUACUGCAGGUCUUGAGUAAAGUAGAAGUGGCUGGAAUAAGUAGUGUAGCGGUGAAAUGCAUAGAUAUUACUUAGAACACCAAUUGCGAAGGCAGGUCACUAUGUUUUAACUGACGCUGAUGGACGAAAGCGUGGGGAGCGAACAGGAUUAGAUACCCUGGUAGUCCACGCCGUAAACGAUGCUAACUCGUUUUUGGGGCUUCGGCUUCAGAGACUAAGCGAAAGUGAUAAGUUAGCCACCUGGGGAGUACGUUCGCAAGAAUGAAACUCAAAGGAAUUGACGGGGGCCCGCACAAGCGGUGGAUUAUGUGGUUUAAUUCGAUGAUACGCGAGGAACCUUACCAAGGCUUAAAUGGGAAUUGAUCGGUUUAGAAAUAGACCUUCCUUCGGGCAAUUUUCAAGGUGCUGCAUGGUUGUCGUCAGCUCGUGCCGUGAGGUGUUAGGUUAAGUCCUGCAACGAGCGCAACCCCUGUCACUAGUUGCCAUCAUUAAGUUGGGGACUCUAGUGAGACUGCCUACGCAAGUAGAGAGGAAGGUGGGGAUGACGUCAAAUCAUCACGGCCCUUACGCCUUGGGCCACACACGUAAUACAAUGGCCGGUACAGAGGGCAGCUACACAGCGAUGUGAUGCAAAUCUCGAAAGCCGGUCUCAGUUCGGAUUGGAGUCUGCAACUCGACUCUAUGAAGCUGGAAUCGCUAGUAAUCGCGCAUCAGCCAUGGCGCGGUGAAUACGUUCCCGGGCCUUGUACACACCGCCCGUCAAGCCAUGGAAGUCUGGGGUACCUGAAGUCGGUGACCGUAAAAGGAGCUGCCUAGGGUAAAACAGGUAACUAGGGCUAAGUCGUACAGGGGGUAACCGUAAA
rnacentral:rRNA from 2 species